rnacentral:rRNA from 1 species
GAUGAACGCUGGCGGCGUGCCUAAUACAUGCAAGUCGAGCGAACGGACGAGAAGCUUGCUUCUCUGAUGUUAGCGGAAGGGGGGUGAAACACAUGUGGAAAACCUCCCUAUCUGUCUGAGAUAACUUCGGGACACCGGCGAUAAUACGGGAUAAUAUUUUCAUCCGAUGGGUUCAAGUGUGAAAGACGGUCUUGGUGUCAGUUGUAGAUGGAUCCGAGCUGCAUUAGCUAGUUGGUAAGGUCAAGGCUUACCAAGGCAACGAUGCAUAGCCGAACUGAGAGGGUGAUCGGCCACACGGGAACUUAGAGACGGUCCAGACGCCUAGGGGAGUCAGCAGGAGGGAAUCGUCCGCAAUGGGCGAAAGCCUGCAGGAGCAACGCCGCGUGAGUGAUUAAGGGCUUCGGAUCGUAGAACUGUGUUAUUAGGGAAGAACAGAUGUGGAAGUAACUGUGCACAUCUUGACGGUACUGAAUCAGAAAGCCACGGCUAACUACGUG